UCUCUUUAUAUAUUGAGUUUUUAUUUUGCAGAAUGUUUUAUAUCUUUCCUUUAUCCCAUUUAGAAGAAAAUGUGAAACAUUUCCCAUGACAUCAUUCCUUUGUGAAUGGAUACAGACUAUUUUAUUCUACUGAGCAGUUAUUCAUUUUGGUCUUUUAAAUUUUCUACUGGUGGAUAUUUACAUCUGAGAAAGAGAUUUCCAGUUGUCCCCAGGAACUGUUCUGCCACUAACCUACAGGAAUGAGUUUUAUGUGCAUAUUCUCAAGACUUGACCCCUUGACCGUGACUUGAUGGUCAUGACUGAAAGUCCUGAUAUUAUAUACUGUCUUUUGAUCACUUAAGAAAUUUGACUCAGGAGGUAAGCCUUGGCCUGUCAACUAUAAAGACUACAUUUCACAACGUUUUUGUAGCUGAGAGUUUGUAAAUGUAGCUAAGGGUUUGAAUAAAUUUGGGCUAAAGGAACAGAAGUAAAUUGUGUGAUUCCUGGUCCAACUACUUUCAGAUAAGGUCCCAUAUUGAUAUCAACCAGCAGUAUCAGCUUCAUUUCAUCCAUAAUGAUUUCACUUUUCUCCUCUACUAGGCCUCUGGUCUGAAAAGUUGAUUCUUCAUUCCAUUCUGCAGACAAUUUAUAGAGCAAUCUCGUCCCCAUUUUUUUCCAUGCUGUGACAUAUCAUACUUGAAGGUGUUUCCUGCUUUCAAAAUUGCACAGGAGAAAAGUAAUAUUCUCUAUGUGGAGACCUUCACUUUCAGAAAUGACCCCUUUCUGUUUCUUAAUGUUUUGUCCUCUCUAUGAUUUGAUGGUCUGAAGGACAAAGAUGCUACCCUGCUCCCACUCAUGCUUCUAAAACUAUCUGUUCUCUCACCUUGGAGCUUGAUAAUAACACAUUUAUAUGGCUGGUGGAAAGAGAACAGAAGGAGGACAGAGACAUCAGUUCGUUAGAGUUACAUAUGUUCCCUCAUUUUUAAAAAUUCACAUUUCAUGAAGUGUCAUUGACCUAGCAUUUCAGAGUCCCACUUUUUUUUUUUUCUCCCAGAAGUCCAUAUAUGGAGUGAUUUUGAGGGAGUAAAAAUGUUUUUUAAUUUCUCAAAUUGUUAGACUUCCACAGAUUAUUUCAUUAUGCCACUGAGAAACAACGGGA
rnacentral:lncRNA from 1 species